UCGCUGAGUUUUUUUCGUCAUACUCUCACCGUCGGUUUUUGUCGUCAUCCUACCACAUCUGCAUUACUCGAACGAAAAAACGGGCAAAGACAACCCUCCCUCGCACGACAGAAAUUUGGACGAAGAACGAACCAAAAAACCGGACGAAGCGGGAGCGAGCGCCCUCGCAGGAACCGAUCCAGGCCCCCUCCCAUGAGAAAAAAAACUGACGGAGGAGGCUACCCUCGAUCUAAUCGCUACAGCAACGGGAACCACGCCCCAGCCGCCAUCGCUGAUGCUUUCGCCGUUGCGGAUCCCUUUGCCGGCACCGAGGUGCCAGAGAAGCCGCGGCCGCCGUCGGGACGCCGCUGCCGAGAUCCUCCAUCGCCGCCCCGGCCCCGACCAUCCAGGUGCCGCCGACCCACGCACGCCGCCGCUCCACGCGCGUGGUCUGCCCCUCCACGCCUCCAUGCGCCGCUGCAGCCCACGCACGCCAUCUGCCCCUUUAAACCUCCACGUGCCGCCGAUGAGUUCGUCGUUGCCGACGGGGAGAGCGGGGGGAACAACCUCGGGGAGCGAGAGGCCGUCACCGGCCCCGGGAUUCGGCACCGCGCGACCGUCAUCGACGCAGUCCGGAGGUACCAAGUCUGCUACUCGUACCGACAUGUUGGUCGACGUAGGAAUGGUAGCUGGCUGUGAUAAUCUUGAGGUUCCACGACAUGUUGGGAAUGGAAGUGCAUCCCCCGCGAAAGGCACACAGAGGAAAUUUGUUGUUGAUGCAACCAAAGGUGCAUCACCAGGUGUUAAUGCAAGUAACACUGGGCAGCACCUGCAUUACCGCAGAAAAGGUAAUGGUCCUGGGAAACAUGCAAAGCUGGAAGACAACAAAGGUGCUACUAGGUUGGGGAGAGAUCAGACACCAAUCGGCGUAUUUGAAGAUGAAUGGGUUUUCUGCCAUUCAUUUAGAACCAGUGAUCCGUGUCAUGGUCCGAUGGUCCGAUGGUACUGUAUCACAAUAGAAGGAUUGUGCCCAGUGACGAGGGCAACCCUACCAACGCCAUCUAUGUCCACGAGAAAUGCAUGGUUUGGGCCCCAAAAGUGGAAUCCAAUGGUGAUACUUUUAAGAAUGUGGAGAGUGAAAUCAAUCGUUCUAAAAGAUUGAGAUGCAGAAGAUGCAAACUCCCGGGAGCAGCACUUGGUUGUUAUGACAACUCCUGCAGAAAAAGUUAUCAUGUCCCAUGUGCAAUGAUGAUACCAGAAUGCCGCUGGGAUGAAGAAAUGUAUUUUUGAUCUCAGCUUCUAAUGAUGAAAAGAAGUAGUCAAGAAUAAAAUUUGAUGUCCUUUGGCACCUUACAAGAUGAUAAACAUCAACACUGAUGUUCUGUUGUUCUGAUAACUGCAAAAUAGGAACGCAUGCAUCAAUGGGCAUGAAGGGCGUGGGUUGAAGACCAAUUAUUCUACAUUGUUUGGUCUAUUUAAAGAACAUCGCUGGUCUCUUCAAUGGCAAUCAGUACUCAUUGGUGUUAUCAGGCAUUCAAUCAGAGGUGCGGCAUGCUUCUGACAUCAACGACGUCGCCAACAACGUUUAUCAGCACAAUUCGGCCACCGGUCCUACCGUUCUGCAAACUUGGAUCUCUGGCAAAAACUGAAAAUUUCUUUUUGGGUUAAGCACUAUUGAUUUGUGGUGGUAAAUUCUUUUGGCAAGGAAACUUAAAUAUAUUGUAAUGUGAGUAUCUCGACUGGCAUUGAGGAUUAAGAACUUUAACUAUGCCGCCACAUUUUGUAGGCACUAUAACUACCAUUCUAGGCAUGUAUAUGCAUGGUAUUCUAUGCAGAAUUUGUUUGCUCAUAUACAAGGAAUACUCACUACAUUAUGAGACAAAGUUUAUUAUGGACUGGUAAGAGUUUACUGAUGAUUCAUCCUAUCAUCCUUAGAUACAAAGAUUAAGGUGUACACACUCCAAACACUCAUGUUUGGCAUGUUCCACGCAACACACCUGCUCCAUGAAACAACAACAUUGGUCGAGGCUGAAGCACAGGAAGAAGCAGUGUGGGCAUCGCCACAUCCUGUGCGUGAUCGUUUCCACUCUGCCACAUGCGAUGCAGAACACCCCAGGUUUGACAUGUCGUCGCAGUAGUUCAUCACCAACAGCCAACCCAUUUUUUAACAUCCGCCAGCCAUGUAUUUUAACUUUGUUUGGGACAUCCGCGGCCCAUAAUUCCAUCCAACUCUUAUGAUCCGCAACCGAGCUGGACGAGGAGGCCAGUGCCUUUCUCGCCGUCUUCAGGGUCAUCCCCAGAUGGUAGGCCGAUCUCACGGUGAAGAUCCCAUUUCUGGUAUAGUUCCAGGCCCGGAAAUCUUCUUUGCCCGGUCCCCCCACUACUAUCUGUCUAAUAUCUUGGGCAUCAGACGGAGUGAACACAGCCUGCAGUUUUCCUUCGUCCCAGGCCGUUCCGUCCUCCGAGAGUAGGUCAGCCACCUUGAUCGUAUUCGGUACGUAGUUGGCACCUAGAGGAGUCAUGCUUCCAUUGCGGGGUAUCCAAUUGUCAUGCAACACGUUGAUCUUCGUUCCAGGCCCGGAAAUCUUCUUGUGCUGAUUCAAUUCUAUCACGUAAACAAUAAGUAAUAAAGAAUUCAGAAAUUACACCAUAUAUGUGAGAUCACUUCCUUAGAAGACAGGCAUAAGAUUUUUUUUCGAUAACCUUCCAUAAUAAAAUAAGAUAUUUGUUCAUAAAAAAAUGCUAAUCCACCGCGCUAUGUCAUUUAUUAUUAUCAUUAUCUCUACUAUUAAUUGACAGUCACAAGUUUCCUAUGGGCGUACCUAUCCGCGCGCUCCUGCGGAGGGACGUCGUGCACGACACCAUGGAAGAUGUCGUGGCCGGGCCUAACCCUGGCGCAAUGCUCGAGAAUGCCAGGGCGUGGAUCACGUCAUCGAGGACGACCGUGGCGGGAGGCGGGUCAUCAGACCGCCAUGUAGACGCGGUCACAUUAUAUUUCUUGACAGUCAAAUGGAGAGCCACAUGGCUACAUUCUCAAAUCAAGUGUGUCAAUUUAAAUGUCAAGAAAUUCAUUAAGAUAUUGUGUCCUACAUUACUCGGUAGUCAUUGUCAUAAUCGUUUGUAGCAGCCAUUCAUGCAAAAAUAAUUUAGAAAUCGAGCACCGAAUCAAUUUGGAAAUCAAACCAUUGAUGCAAUUAAUCAGCUA